rnacentral:rRNA from 1 species
CCUACGGGAGGCAGCAGUGGGGAAUAUUGCACAAUGGGCGCAAGCCUGAUGCAGCAACGCCGCGUGAGGGAUGACGGCCUUCGGGUUGUAAACCUCUUUUAGCAGGGAAGAAGCGAAAGUGACGGUACC